rnacentral:rRNA from 1 species
AAGUCGAACGAGGAAAGCACCUCUCGGGUGCCGUACUAGUGGCGCACCGGUGAGUAACGCGUGGAUAAUCUGCCCUCUGGCGGGGAAUAACCAGUCGAAAGAUUGGCUAAUACCGCAUAAGACCACAGUCUCUGAGGAGAUAGUGGUUAAAGAUUUAUCACCAGGGGAUGAGUCCGCGUCCGAUUAGCUUGUUGGUGGGGUAAUGGCCUACCAAAGCUACGAUCGGUAGCUGGUCUGAGAGGAUGAUCAGCCACACUGGAACUGAGACACGGUCCAGACUCCUACGGGAGGCAGCAGUAGGGAAUAUUGCGCAAUGGGGGAAACCCUGACGCAGCGACGCCGCGUGAGUGAUGAAGGCCUUCGGGUUGUAAAGCUCUGUUCUACAGGAACAAAAAAAUGAGGGUACUGUAGAAGAAAGGACCGGCUAACUCCGUGCCAGCAGCCGCGGUAAUACGGGGGGUCCUAGCGUUGUUCGGAAUCAUUGGGCGUAAAGCGGGUGUAGGCGGACCUGUAAGUCAGAAGUGAAAGCCCCGGGCUCAACCCGGGAAGUGCUUUUGAUACUGCAGAUCUUGAGUGUGGGAGAGGGUAGUAGAAUUCCUGGUGUAGUGGUGAAAUACGUAGAUAUCAGGAGGAACACCGGUGGCGAAGGCGGCUGCCUGGCCCAACACUGACGCUCAGACCCGAAAGCGUGGGUAGCAAACAGGAUUAGAUACCCUGGUAGUCCACGCCGUAAACACUGGAUACUUGUUGUUGGAGGUAUUGACCCCUUCAGUGACGGAGCUAACGCGUUAAGUAUCCCGCCUGGGGAGUACGGCCGCAAGGUUAAAA